UACAGAGGGGGCAAGCGUUAUUCGGAAUUAUUGGGCGUAAAGGGCGCGUAGGCGGCUUGGCAAGUGGAUGGUGAAAUCCCUCGGCUUAACCGAGGAACGGCCGUCCAAACUGCUUCGCUUGAGACCGGGAGAGGUGAGUGGAAUUCCCAGUGUAGCGGUGAAAUGCGUAGAUAUUGGGAGGAACACCAGUGGCGAAGGCGGCUCACUGGACCGGUACUGACGCUGAGACGCGAAAGCGUGGGGAGCAAACAGG
rnacentral:rRNA from 1 species